GUCACACUCAACUUACAGCAAUUUAUCUGAAUUACCAUUCAGGUGAUCCAUCCACUUUUUAGUUCCGUGGUUCCUGCUCCAGAAGACAAGGACAAACUGAUACAUCAUCAAAAGAAUUUAUUUAGCCAGAGUGAAUACAUUCUUCUUUAUCCUCAUUGUCUUUAUGGAAACCUCCAAAUGAGCAGCAGUGCACAUCUAUAAAGGAUACAUGGAUGAUUCAGAGAAAAAAAAGUGACCAUGAUUUGCCCAGAAAAUCCACCAAUUGGAAGGGGAGGACUCUUUUCUUCCCAUCCCACUCAUGAGAACAGUGAAGGUAAUGUCCACAGGACAUGUUCCUUACAGUCCCACCUUGUUGGACCCCACUCGGUAAUUUGGAGUCUUGUGAUCGUGAUCUGGGAAGAAAGGGCAACAGCUUUCCAGGUGAAGGUGCAGGGAAGAGUUGUCUCCUUGGAGUCCAGGAUGGGAGCCUACUGCUUGCUGGGAAUCUCAGCUGGUGAAAAGGAUGCAGGGCAAGUAGUGGUUAAGCAUGGUCAUUUGAGCAUCAAGGUGAAAAGCUGCUUCUAAAUUGUAGGGACCAGAUCCACACAGCGAUCUCUCCAACAUGGGUGGAAAAGGAUGUUCUUGGCCACAUUAAUCACACCUCUCUCCAGAAAUCCAGGCACCAGGAAUUAAGCCAAACACCAGAUGAGGGCUCCCCAUGUGCUGUUAAGAACUGCAGCCUUCCUGCAGGAGCAUCAGUAGACCCAAAAGGCCAGAAAACAUCUUCCUGAAGCCCCAAAAAACAGAAGCCUCAACUGUCUGCCCUUUCUAUAUUCCUGAACUGUAGAAUCUUUGAGCAUAAUAAAAUGGCUGUUGUUUUAGCCAAUUCAAGAUGAUUUAUUAUGUAGCAAUAGUAACUAGGACAUACCGAUGUUUGUGUUAAAGUCAGAGGAGCUUUUAAAAUUUUUCAGACCAUUGCAGAUGUUAUAUUUAUCAAUUUGCAGUAAAUAUCAAUAUAUCCAGAUCCGUACACAUUUUACUAAAUCAUAAUCUUUAUACUAACUUUCAUUUAUUUGAAAUGUACAUAUCACUAACGACACAUUCCACAAUAUAUGAAUGUUGUUGAAGAUUGGAGCUUUUCCUCAUCCAUGUUUAUUAUUUUAAA
rnacentral:lncRNA from 1 species